AAUGGCAACUCACUCCAGUGCUCUUGCCUGGAAAAUCCCAUGGACGGAAGAGCCUGGUAGGCUACAGUCCAUGGGGUCACAGAGAGUCAGACACAACUGAGCAACUUCGCUUUCACUUUUCUUUCACAGCUGUUUCAGUCCUCAGCACGUUUCCUGGAGGACAUGUGAGUGACACUGGGCUACCUUCUCCACCCCCCUUCCAAUCCUGCACUGCUGAUAUGGUGGCCCAGGGGUCUGUGAACUAUCAAGCCUUUCACACGCCCAGCCUUCUGAAAGGCCAGCCCCAUCCUGGAAGGCUCAGCUGGACGAGAGGAGGAGGAAGAGACUGGAGUUCUUGGGCUGGGAGUGACCAGUCAAGACUGCUUCUUUUCCACCCGCUCCCCUGGUCCUCACCUGCAGCUUGCACAGCACAUCCCCAGCCUUGGGUUCUCAAAACAACAGUGCAAGGACACUGGAAAUGGUCUUAGGAGUCAC
ensembl:lncRNA